rfam:Dipodomys ordii contig_58533, whole genome shotgun sequence.
GGCUCAGUGGUAGAGCGCUUGCCUUGCAUGCAGGAGGCCCUGGGUUUGAUUCCUCAG